CCUACGGGAGGCAGCAGUGGGGAAUAUUGCACAAUGGGGGAAACCCUGAUGCAGCAACGCCGCGUGAGUGAAGAAGUAUUUCGGUAUGUAAAGCUCUAUCAGCAGGGAAGAAGAUGACGGUACCUGAUUAAGAAGCCCCGGCUAACUACGUGCCAGCAGCCGCGGUAAUACGUAGGGGGCAAGCGUUAUCCGGAUUUACUGGGUGUAAAGGGAGCGCAGACGGCAGUGCAAGUCUGGAGUGAAAGCCCGGGGCCCAACCCCGGAACUGCUCUGGAAACUGUGCGGCUAGAGUACUGGAGGGGCAGGCGGAAUUCCUAGUGUAGCGGUGAAAUGCGUAGAUAUUAGGAGGAACUCCGAUUGCGAAGGCAGCUCACUGGACUGCAACUGACACUGAGGCUCGAAAGUGUGGGUAUCAAACAGGAUUAGAUACCCGUGUAGUC
rnacentral:rRNA from 1 species